rnacentral:rRNA from 1 species
UACGUAGGAUGCAAGCGUUGUCCGGAUUUAUUGGGCGUAAAGAGCUCGUAGGCGGCUCGUUGCGUCAACCGUGAAAACCCGGGGCUUAACUUCGGGCUUGCGGUUGAUACGGGCGGGCUGGAGUUCGGUAGGGGAGUCUGGAAUUCCUGGUGUAGCGGUGAAAUGCGCAGAUAUCAGGAGGAACACCGGUGGCGAAGGCGGGACUCUGGGCCGAUACUGACGCUGAGGAGCGAAAGCGUGGGGAGCGAACAGG